CGGAGCCAUAUCAGCAAGUCCAGAUUUGCACAAUGUUGAUAAAGACGACAUUGUGUCUGCCUGUAAGACGUAUUUUGAGACGGUACGCAGGAGCUUCAGAUAUAUGCUGCCAGCGAACACGUUGCGUGCGGAAGCUGCCAAGCAAUCUGCUCGGAGUCGAGUUAGAAGAAAGAGGGUAAGACUUUAUAUGGUGACUAUUUUUCAGGUGCAUUGAUAGAUGUGUUGUGUACGCAGUGCAUCCCAUCGCAUAGUGCUGAUUCAUUGUUUUUUUUUCGACCAGUUAGAUAAUUUAGAAAAAGUAUUAGAACAAAAGGAGGCAUUAAUUCAGGAAAAGGAGGAGUUAAUUCAGGAACUUCAGGGAAAAGGGACCAAACAGAGAAAAGAUAAAAGCUUAAAACUCUACCUGAAAAAGGCUGAUGCCAAAAAGCUUAAGGAAGAGCCGAUUAGUUUAAAAGCAGAGAACCUUGAAUUACUUAAGACGCUCAGCGACAAAGAAUAUCUCAUUAAAAAGUUAAAUGAUGAGAUUAGAAAAUUGAAAUUGGCAAAGAAAUGUAAAUUGCCUGAAAUGACUCCUCCUGUGUCUGAAAUAAAAUCCCAGAUACCAGCUCACUUGGUCAAGCCCUAAUAAGGUCAACCUGUAAUCUGAAUGGCGUUUUGUUCUACCAAUUCUGCUUUUAUCUGGUUUUUUAUUUAUAGAAUAUAUAAAACAUGGAUAUUAUUUUUAUUUUUAAAGUUCUGUUUAAUCUCUGCAUGUUCAUUUUUCCCCCUCGUAUAUCAUUUU